rnacentral:tRNA from 1 species
GUUCACAUAGCUUAGCACCAAA